rnacentral:rRNA from 1 species
GAACUGAAGAGUUUGAUCAUGGCUCAGAUUGAACGCUGGCGGCAGGCCUAACACAUGCAAGUCGAGCGGAUGAAGGGAGCUUGCUCCUGGAUUCAGCGGCGGACGGGUGAGUAAUGCCUAGGAAUCUGCCUGGUAGUGGGGGAUAACGUCCGGAAACGGGCGCUAAUACCGCAUACGUCCUGAGGGAGAAAGUGGGGGAUCUUCGGACCUCACGCUAUCAGAUGAGCCUAGGUCGGAUUAGCUAGUUGGUGGGGUAAAGGCCUACCAAGGCGACGAUCCGUAACUGGUCUGAGAGGAUGAUCAGUCACACUGGAACUGAGACACGGUCCAGACUCCUACGGGAGGCAGCAGUGGGGAAUAUUGGACAAUGGGCGAAAGCCUGAUCCAGCCAUGCCGCGUGUGUGAAGAAGGUCUUCGGAUUGUAAAGCACUUUAAGUUGGGAGGAAGGGCAGUAAGUUAAUACCUUGCUGUUUUGACGUUACCAACAGAAUAAGCACCGGCUAACUUCGUGCCAGCAGCCGCGGUAAUACGAAGGGUGCAAGCGUUAAUCGGAAUUACUGGGCGUAAAGCGCGCGUAGGUGGUUCAGCAAGUUGGAUGUGGAAAUCCCCGGGCUCAACCUUGGGAACUGCAUCCAAAACUACUGAGCUAGAGUACGGUAGAGGGUGGUGGAAUUUCCUGUGUAGCGGUGAAAUGCGUAGAUAUAGGAAGGAACA